rnacentral:lncRNA from 1 species
UAUGCUUUAUCCAAUUGGGAACGCUACAAAACGAACAUCCAAAACACACUCAAUUACACACAGAAUGUGCUCGAUUCCAAGAUGGCUUGUGCCGAGAGGUCCGAUCGCAUGCGACUGGUGCCGAGAGGUCCGAUCGCAUGCGACUGGUCUCAGCUGGCAGGUUCUGGGGCUGGCUCUGAGGCGGUUGGUGCAGGUCUUUGUUGAAGGAGAGGAGAAAGCGCCUUCACAACAAUGCUCAUGUUGGGCCUGAACUCUGCUUCGUAUUGCACGCAUAGAGCUGCCACUGCAGCG